UACGUAGGCAGCGAGCGUUGUUCGGAAUUACUGGGCGUAAAGGGUGCGUAGGCGGUUUGGUAAGUCUGAUGUGAAAUCUAUGGGCUCAACUCAUAGUCUGCAUCGGAAACUGCCGGGCUUGAGUGUGGGAGAGGUGAGUGGAAUUCCUGGUGUAGCGGUGAAAUGCGUAGAUAUCAGGAGGAACACCUGUGGCGAAAGCGGCUCACUGGACCAUAACUGACGCUGAGGCGCGAAAGCUAGGGGAGCAAACAGG
rnacentral:rRNA from 1 species